AUACAGAGGGUGCGAGCGUUAAUCGGAAUUACUGGGCGUAAAGCGCGCGUAGGCGGCUACUUAAGUCAGAUGUGAAAUCCCCGGGCUCAACCUGGGAACUGCAUCUGAUACUGGGUAGCUAGAGUUUAGGCGAGGGAAGUAGAAUUUCAGGUGUAGCGGUGAAAUGCAUAGAGAUCUGAAGGAAUACAAGUGGCGAAGGCGGCUUCCUGGCCUAAAACUGACGCUGAGGUGCGAAAGCGUGGGUAGCAAACGGGAUUAGAUACCCCAGUAGUCC
rnacentral:rRNA from 1 species